AGGGGGAAGUGUUUGAGUGGUACAGCCCUUUUGGAGGAUGUGUGCCAUGCUAGUGGGCUCUGAGAGACUUACCUCAUCCUAAUUCCUGUUUACUCUCCGUUGUGUGCUGACAUUUGAAGAGGUGAGCGCUCAGCUUCCGGCACCUGUCUCUGUGCCUGUCACUGCUGCUAUGCCUCUCCACCAUGCUGGAGUCUGGCACAAGGUCCUGGAAGUAGAACUCAGAUUGUUUGGCUUGAUGGCAGGCGCCCUCAGACACUGAGCUACCGUCUUAAUUCAGAGCUUGGUUUCACAGAAUUUUGAAGGAGAAGAAUUUGUUCUGGAAGGGAGUGCUAGAACUUUGGGAAACAGAAAGCAGUUACUGCAAAAUGUCACCUUAACCUCUUGUGUGAUCACCUCUUCUAUAGUCCAAGCUGCUGAAGAAGGCCUUUUACAGUUCACUCC